CAGUCGCCACGGGAAUACGAAGGGGGCUAGCGUUGCUCGGAAUGACUGGGCGUAAAGGGCGCGUAGGCGGAUGGCUUUGUCGGGCGUGAAAUUCCAGGGCUUAACCUUGGGGCUGCGUUCGAGACGGGUUGUCUUGAGUAUGGAAGAGGGUCGUGGAAUUCCCAGUGUAGAGGUGAAAUUCGUAGAGAUGUGGAGGAACACCAGUGGCGAAGGCGGCUCACUGGCUCGAUACUGACGCUGAGGUGCGAAAGCGUGGGGAGCAAACAGGAUUAGAGACCCGCGUAGUCCCUGUCUCUUAUAC
rnacentral:rRNA from 1 species